rnacentral:rRNA from 1 species
GAUCUGGUCGGGUGGUCCGCUUAACGGCGUGUUACUGCUUGGCCGGGUCUUGUCUCUUGGUGAACCUUUGUGCCGUUUGUUCGGUGCUUAGGGGAACCAGGACUUUUACCUUGAGAAAAUUAGAGUGUUCAAAGCAGGCUUAUGCCUGAAUACAUUAGCAUGGAAUAAUAGAAUAGGACU